UAUCGUGGCCUCGCCUCUCUACUGCAACCGGACAGGCGAUUGUAAUGGCCACUCCUAUAGGUAGUUAUGCUGCUUUUCUUCUUCUUUUUCUUCUCUUCCCUUCACUCGUUCAUAAAUCAAAACGUGCCGACCCUGUUUUCAACCCUAACCGCUUUGCCACCAUGCCGCGUCCACCAUCUGCGCAACAGUGCGUCACUUGCACCGCCAGCCAGCCACCUACUCCUGGUAAAGGAGAAGUAAAGUUUACCUGUCUGGCUUCUCCAACUCUCUUUAAACCUACAGAAUCGAAAGGAAAAAGGCAAAAACGGUGAUGUCCAAAGUGAAAUAUGAGGCCUUACGCGAGCAAAGAUUGGAAGAGAACAGGAAAAGACUUCUAUAGCCCUCAAAAACUCCUCUUAUCCCAAACCCACACCGGUAUCUCUCUUUUGUCCUCUUAUUUGACUUACAAAGUACUGUGGCUCCCCUUUUAGGCCUUUUUAUAACUCUGCCAGAUGAGUUACCAAUCGGACCCGGAACCUCUCGAAUUUGGCAUAUGCAUCAGAUGAAGAUAGAGAAUGUGCUAUAAAGAAAGCAGAUGAGCUUGAGUCAAGCCUAGAGUCUGAUUAUCCAUGUCACUGGUGGUUUUUGGCUGGUAAGCAUCAAUAGAUUACUUAACUCUGUUUUUCAUAGUGAACGUUGCUUCAAAUAUAUUCCCUUUGGAUUAGGCUGCAGACGAGAAGUAUAUUAUUGAUCCAUUCCUUUGACUUGCUCAAUAAUUUCAAACAAGGUACUGUGUGUUGGGAAAACUAGACAAGUCACUUACUCUGUAUUGAAUCAUUUGGUUGAGUGUUAUCAUUUUCUUAAGAUUGGUUUGUUGGAAGAAAAAGAGAUGACCACCUUCAUGAUGCUGUCCAGGUAAAUAUGUUUGUCAUUUACUUUAAUGUUCUUCAUUUUGAUGCUAUCAUUUCAUAUUUAUACCAUUAAAAUUUAAACCUUGAUGUAGAGUGACUUAAAAAAGCUCUUCAAGAAACCCCCUCUGGUGAAAAUUGUGUGUUUUUUGGAUUUAGGCGCAAUCUAAAAUCUCAAGUGUUUUGCAUAAAUUAUAUAUUAGGACUGACUUUUUUGUGCUGAUUUCUUUUCUUCAGGUGGUAUUGGUUUUGGUGUAAGGUUCCUUUCUCUUUCUCUUCCUAUCUCUCUAUUUGCAUCUAUGUAUAAAAUGGCCGCUAUUUCAUUUUCGACACUGCAGAUACCCAUAAAAUGGUGCUAUUUGUUCCACUGGUGUUCUGGAAAUCUGGUGCAAACUAUUAGUUUAUUUAUGAAUUUGAAUCUCUAUAGGGCUUUCUUUGAAUUAAAACUAUCCAUUGCUUCAGCAAUGGCUACUGGUACUUCUUUUUUUUCUUUUUCUUUUUUUACCUUUAUUUAACCUUCAAAUGUGCAGUGGAUUAUUGUUCUCAGAUAAUAUUUGGAAAAAGCGCUUGUAAAUGCACCUGCUAAUAUGCUCACCAUUGGUUAGUAAUCUUUCACACUUCUGCAUCUUUUUCCUAUAUCAUUACCAUUUUUUGACACUAACUACUGGAGUUGGUUACUUUAUCAAGCUUGAGUAUAAAUCAUAUUAAUUAAAACCACAUCAUAGAUAAUUUAGAAUGGAAUGGACCGCCCUUUUAAAUACAUGCCAUGUACACAGAUAUGAUUACUGUUUCUAUUGAAUUUCUUAUACUAGGCAUGUCAAGUUGUGAACAAAUCCAGAAAUGAAUGAGAUGUUCUGCACUAGCUAUCAGAUUAAAAUUGAUGGCAACUUUGGCCAGACAUAUUUGAAAUCUUGUGUUGGACAUCAUUUGGAUAUGCAGCUAAUCAACGGCAGGUGUUUCAAAACUUACUUAACUUGCUUCAAACUUUAUUUAUAGGGUGAUUUCUAGUCUUGCUGAAAAACUAACGUUUGGCUGAAUUUUGUGUUUAAAUUUAAUUUUCCUGAAUUUGUUAUAGUCCACAUUAAGGUUGGCACAUAAGAUUGGACUUAUGUUGUUACCAUUAUUUAUUGAUCUCUGUUGUCUAUGCAAUAGGUAAUGGUUAUGUAAGAUAUCAUUUCUUUAUUGAUCUCAUUAUAUGUUUUUUUAAUGCCUAUACAGAUGCAACCAAAAAGAAAGUCGAAGCGCGUGUCACCUGCUAUUCCUCCAAACUCAAGCAAUGGAAGUCCAUCUCGUUGUGGGCAAGGACAACACUCUAAUAAAUUAAACAUUCCUAUGUCAACACUUUCUACAGCUCAAUUUGAUGUAAACAGGACAACUCAAUCAAGUGUUGAUGUUAUAAUUCAUCUUUUUGUGGUUAAAUAUUAGUCAUUUAGGGUUAUUAAUACUUGAAAUAUGUGCAAUACAAUUUUAUUUCUAUGGCGAUAUGUUUCUUUUCAA